UACGUAGGUGGCAAGCGUUGUCCGGAUUUACUGGGCGUAAAGAGCGCGCAGGCGGUCGUUCAAGUCGCGUGUGAAAGCCCCCGGCUCAACUGGGGAGGGUCACGCGAUACUGAUCGACUCGAAGGCAGGAGAGGGUAGUGGAAUUCCCGGUGUAGCGGUGAAAUGCGCAGAUAUCGGGAGGAACACCAAUUGCGAAGGCAGCUCGCUGGGACGUCACUGACGCUGAGACGCGAAAGCGUGGGGAGCAAACAGG
rnacentral:rRNA from 1 species